GACGAACGCUGGCGGCGUGCUUAACACAUGCAAGUCGAACGGAAAGGCCCUGCGUUUGUGGGGUGCUCGAGUGGCGAACGGGUGAGUAACACGUGAGUAACCUGCCCUUGUCUUUGGGAUAACUUCAGGAAACUGGGGCUAAUACCGGAUAGGAGCUCUUGCUGCAUGGGGGGGGUUGGAAAGUGUCGGCGGUUGGGGAUGGACUCGCGGGUUAUCCGCUUGUUGGUGGGGUAGUGGAUUACCAAGGCUUUGACGGGUAGCCGGCCUGAGAGGGUGACCGGCGACAUUGGGACUAAGGGACGGCGCAGAAUCCUACGGGAGGCAGCAGGGGGGAAUAUUGCAGAAUGGGGGGAAGCCUGAUGCAGCAACGCCGGGUGCGUGAUAACGGCCUUCGGGUUGAAAACCGCUUUCGCCUGAGACGAAGCGUGAGUGACGGUAAUGGGUAAAGAAGCACCGGCUAACUACGUG
rnacentral:rRNA from 1 species